rnacentral:rRNA from 1 species
GUGGGGAAUCUUGCGCAAUGGGCGAAAGCCUGACGCAGCCAUGCCGCGUGAAUGAUGAAGGUCUUAGGAUUGUAAAAUUCUUUCACCGGGGACGAUAAUGACGGUAUCCGGAGAAGAAGCCCCGGCUAACUUCGUGCCAGCAGCCGCGGUAAUACGAAGGGGGCUAGCGUUGUUCGGAAUUACUGGGCGUAAAGCGCACGUAGGCGGACAUUUAAGUCAGGGGUGAAAUCCCGGGGCUCAACCCCGGAACUGCCUUUGAUACUGGGUGUCUGGAGUAUGGAAGAGGUAAGUGGAAUUCCGAGUGUAGAGGUGAAAUUCGUAGAUAUUCGGAGGAACACCAGUGGCGAAGGCGGCUUACUGGUCCAUUACUGACGCUGAGGUGCGAAAGCGUGGGGAGCAAACAGGAUUAGAAACCCUGGUAGUCC